rnacentral:rRNA from 1 species
GAUGAACGCUGGCGGCGUGCCUAAUACAUGCAAGUCGAGCGAACGGACGAGAAGCUUGCUUCUCUGAUGUUAGCGGCGGACGGGUGAGUAACACGUGGAUAACCUACCUAUAAGACUGGGAUAACUUCGGGAAACCGGAGCUAAUACCGGGUAAUAUUUUGAACCGCAUGGUUCAAAAGUGAAAGACGGUCUUGCUGUCACUUAUAGAUGGAUCCGCGCUGCAUUAGCUAGUUGGUAAGGUAACGGCUUACCAAGGCAACGAUGCAUAGCCGACCUGAGAGGGUGAUCGGCCACACUGGAACUGAGACACGGUCCAGACUCCUACGGGAGGCAGCAGUAGGGAAUCUUCCGCAAUGGGCGAAAGCCUGACGGAGCAACGCCGCGUGAGUGAUGAAGGUCUUCGGAUCGUAAAACUCUGUUAUUAGGGAAGAACAUAUGUGUAAGUAACUGUGCACAUCUUGACGGUACCUAAUCAGAAAGCCACGGCUAACUACGUG